CACGUAGGGCGCGAGCGUUGUCCGGAAUUAUUGGGCGUAAAGAGCUCGUAGGCGGCCUGUUGCGUCCGCUGUGAAAGCCCGGGGCUUAACCCCGGGUCUGCAGUGGAUACGGGCAGGCUAGAGGUAGGUAGGGGAGAAUGGAAUUCCUGGUGUAGCGGUGAAAUGCGCAGAUAUCAGGAGGAACACCGAUGGCGAAGGCAGGUCUCUGGGCCACUACUGACGCUGAGAAGCGAAAGCAUGGGGAGCGAACAGG
rnacentral:rRNA from 1 species